rnacentral:rRNA from 1 species
AACGAACGCUGGCGGCAGGCUUAACACAUGCAAGUCGAACGCAUCCUUCGGGGUGAGUGGCAGACGGGUGAGUAACACGUGGGAACGUACCUUUCGGUUCGGGAUAACCCACGGGAAACUUGGGCUAAUACCGGAUACGUCCUUUGGGAGAAAGAUUUAUUGCCGAGAGAUCGGCCCGCGUCUGAUUAGCUAGUUGGUGGGGUAAUGGCCCACCAAGGCGACGAUCAGUAGCUGGUCUGAGAGGAUGAUCAGCCACACUGGGACUGAGACACGGCCCAGACUCCUACGGGAGGCAGCAGUGGGGAAUAUUGGACAAUGGGCGCAAGCCUGAUCCAGCCAUGCCGCGUGAGUGAUGAAGGCCCUAGGGUU